rnacentral:rRNA from 1 species
GACGAACGCUGGCGGCGUGCUUAACACAUGCAAGUCGAACGAAGUGGCGAACGGGGGAGUAAUACGUGGGGAAACUGCCCUCCUGUUUGGGAUAAGCCUUGGAAAAGGGGUGUAAUACCGAAUAAAGGGGGAUGGGCUCGCGGCCUAUCAGCUAGGUGGGGGGGGGAUGGCCUACCCAGGCGGUGACGGGUAGCCGGCCUGAGAGGGUGAACGGCCACAUAGGGACUGAGAUACGGCCCAGGCUACUACGCGGGGGGGCAGUGGGGGAUAUGGCGCAAUGGGCGAAGGCGUGAUGCCGCGACGCCGCGUGGGGGAUGAGGGCUUUCGGGUUGUAAACCUCGUUCGCUAGCGAACGGGUAGGUAGAGAAGAAGCGCCGGCUAACUCCGUGCCAGCCGCCGCGGUAAUUC